GAACGGAGAGAAUUGCUUGAAAGAGACAGGAGAUCUUGGCCAUUGCUAAGCCGCAGAGACCUGAGAAUAAAUGAAAUGGUCCUGGCGCACCUGAUCCGGCGUGUGCGGUCCAGUUCAGCCCCCGGCCACGUGGCAAGCACCCUCGGUGUGCUAGACCCGCAGCACACGGACCGCCCGAGGCUGUCCCAGGUUCCACAUUGGGUGUGGAGCCCAACAUAGGACUCAAAUUCAUGACCCUGAGAUCAAGACCUGAGCUGAGAUUAAGAGUUGGAAGCUCAACCGACCAAGCCACCCAGGUGCCUCUAGUGACUCCAUCCUGCAUUCCUGGCUUGAUACUGAUGGAAGUAAUUGCUGAACAAUCUUGGAAGAAAUGGCCAAAUCCAUGAUUGCUUGUGGAGUCUCAUAUAGAAAUAAUCCCAAGUCCUGGAACCUUCAGCAUGAAAAAUUUUUCUCAUAAGGAUUCUAAGAGUCUUGGUGGAAGACUAAGUCCUUUGACUUUGAAGUUCUUUUCCUGUGUGCCUCCAGUCAAGUCUGCUGACAUGUUCUUCAGGGGUUUUCCCUUGUGACCGGUUAGUGUGACUCAAAUUUGGUGAAUCCCCCUUUCUGGCUCCAUGGGUAUUUUUCUGGUAUCCUUAAAAACCUCCUUAAAAGCCUAUUCCUGGGCAAGAGAUAGUAGCAGUAAGUCAGGAGCUGCUACUAUGCCACUAUGUCUUCCUCAAAGAGCUAUUAGAGUUCAAAAAGUUCUUUCAGUUAUUAUAAAAUAAAAAUGCUAAGUGAUAUGAAAGCAUUGUGUCCUAGUUCUG